rnacentral:rRNA from 1 species
GGAUUCAGCGGCGGACGGGUGAGUAAUGCCUAGGAAUCUGCCUGAUAGUGGGGGACAACGUUUCGAAAGGAACGCUAAUACCGCAUACGUCCUACGGGAGAAAGCAGGGGACCUUCGGGCCUUGCGCUAUCAGAUGAGCCUAGGUCGGAUUAGCUAGUUGGUGAGGUAAUGGCUCACCAAGGCGACGAUCCGUAACUGGUCUGAGAGGAUGAUCAGUCACACUGGAACUGAGACACGGUCCAGACUCCUACGGGAGGCAGCAGUGGGGAAUAUUGGACAAUGGGCGAAAGCCUGAUCCAGCCAUGCCGCGUGUGUGAAGAAGGUCUUCGGAUUGUAAAGCACUUUAAGUUGGGAGGAAGGGCAGUAAAUUAAUACUUUGCUGUUUUGACGUUACCGACAGAAUAAGCACCGGCUAACUCUGUGCCAGCAGCCGCGGUAAUACAGAGGGUGCAAGCGUUAAUCGGAAUUACUGGGCGUAAAGCGCGCGUAGGUGGUUUGUUAAGUUGGAUGUGAAAUCCCCGGGCUCAACCUGGGAACUGCAUCCAAAACU